GGGACCUGCGGCAGCUACACAUGCAAGUCGAGCGGUAGAGAGAAGCUUGCUUCUCUUGAGAGCGGCGGACGGGUGAGUAAUGCCUAGGAAUCUGCCUGGUAGUGGGGGAUAACGUCCGGAAACGGACGCUAAUACCGCAUACGUCCUACGGGAGAAAGCAGGGGACCUUCGGGCCUUGCGCUAUCAGAUGAGCCUAGGUCGGAUUAGCUAGUUGGUGGGGUAAUGGCUCACCAAGGCGACGAUCCGUAACUGGUCUGAGAGGAUGAUCAGUCACACUGGAACUGAGACACGGUCCAGACUCCUACGGGAGGCAGCAGUGGGGAAUAUUGGACAAUGGGCGAAAGCCUGAUCCAGCCAUGCCGCGUGUGUGAAGAAGGUCUUCGGAUUGUAAAGCACUUUAAGUUGGGAGGAAGGGCAGUAAAUUAAUACUUUGCUGUUUUGACGUUACCGACAGAAUAAGCACCGGCUAACUCUGUGCCAGCAGCCGCGGUAAUACAGAGGGUGCAAGCGUUAAUCGGAAUUACUGGGCGUAAAGCGCGCGUAGGUGGUUCGUUAAGUUGGAUGUGAAAUCCCCGGGCUCAACCUGGGAACUGCAUUCAAAAACUGACGAGCUAGAGUAUGGUAGAGGGUGGUGGAAUUUCCUGUGUAGCGGGUGAAAUGCGUAGAUAUAGGAAGGAACA
rnacentral:rRNA from 1 species